AGUUUUGUAUUCAGUUGAUUUCAGAUUGCAAAUUUGAAGGUGAAUAUUUAUUUAUUUCAAAACUU
rnacentral:tRNA from 1 species